GCCUGGGUGGCUCAAUAGGUUAAGUGUCUGACUUGGGCUCAGGUAAUGAUCUCACGGUUCGUGGGUUUGAGCCCCACAUCGGGCU
rnacentral:tRNA from 1 species